GAAAUUGGGCAUCUACCUGAUCCGAGGUCACCUGGUUAAAAGAUUGGUUGCGAGGCUAGCUGCCAGCUGGACCUACGGGAGCGGGUGACAAAGCCCCAUACGCUCGAGGACCAGACAUGGUGCCGCCACUGCCUUUUGGGCCCGUCCCCGUUGCCAGGGACGGAAGCCCAACACACAAGCCGUGCUUGAGGGCAGCAAUGACGCUCGGACAGGCAUGCCCCCCGGAAUACCAGGGGGCGCAAUGUGCGUUCAAAGACUCGAUGAUUCACUGAAUUCUGCAAUUCACAUUAAUUAUCGCAUUUCGCUGCGUUCUUCAUCGAUGCCGGAACCAAGAGAUCCGUUGUUGAAAGUUUUAACGAUUGUUUAACUAAAAACUCAGACUGCAAACUUCAGACAGCGUUCAAAUGUUAGUCUCCGGCGGGCCGUGGCCACGCCGAAGCAACAGGGUACAGAUAGACACGGAUGGGAGGUUGGACCCAGAGGGCCCGCACUCGGUAAUGAUCCUUCCGCAGGUUCACCUACCGAAAUAG
rnacentral:misc_RNA from 1 species